rnacentral:rRNA from 1 species
AUUGAACGCUGGCGGCAGGCCUAACACAUGCAAGUCGAGCGGCAGCGGGAAAGUAGCUUGCUACUUUUGCCGGCGAGCGGCGGACGGGUGAGUAAUGCCUGGGGAUCUGCCCAGUCGAGGGGGAUAACUACUGGCAACGGUAGCUAAUACCGCAUACGCCCUACGGGGGAAAGCAGGGGACCUUCGGGCCUUGCGCGAUUGGCAGAACCUAGGGUGGAUUAGCUAGUUGGUUAGGUAACGGCUCACCAAGGCGACGAUCCCUAGCUGGUCUGAGAGGAUGAUCAGCCACACUGGAACUGAGACACGGUCCAGACUCCUACGGGAGGCAGCAGUGGGGAAUAUUGCACAAUGGGGGAAACCCUGAUGCAGCCAUGCCGCGUGUGUGAAGAAGGCCUUCGGGUUGUAAAGCACCUUCAGCGAGGAGGAAAGGUUGGUAGCUAAUAACUGCCAGCUGUGACGUUACUCGCAGAAGAAGCACCGGCUAACUCCGUGCCAGCAGCCGCGGUAACAC